GAUGAACGCUGGCGGCGUGCCUAAUACAUGCAAGUCGAGCGAACGGACGAGAAGCUUGCUUCUCUGAUGUUAGCGGCGGACGGGUGAGUAACACGUGGAUAACCUACCUAUAAGACUGGGAUAACUUCGGGAAACCGGAGCUAAUACCGGAUAAUAUUUUGAACCGCAUGGUUCAAAAGUGAAAGACGGUCUUGCUGUCACUUAUAGAUGGAUCCGCGCUGCAUUAGCUAGUUGGUAAGGUAACGGCUUACCAAGGCAACGAUGCAUAGCCGACCUGAGAGGGUGAUCGGCCACACUGGAACUGAGACACGGUCCAGACUCCUACGGGAGGCAGCAGUAGGGAAUCUUCCGCAAUGGGCGAAAGCCUGACGGAGCAACGCCGCGUGAGUGAUGAAGGUCUUCGGAUCGUAAAACUCUGUUAUUAGGGAAGAACAUAUGUGUAAGUAACUGUGCACAUCUUGACGGUACCUAAUCAGAAAGCCACGGCUAACUACGUGCCAGCAGCCGCGGUAAUACGUAGGUGGCAAGCGUUAUCCGGAAUUAUUGGGCGUAAGCGCGCGUAGCGGUUUUUUAGUCUGAUGUGAAAGCCCACGGCUCAACCGUGGAGGGUCAUUGGAAACUGGAAAACUUGAGUGCAGAAGAGGAAAGUGGAAUUCCAUGUGUAGCGGUGAAAUGCGCAGAGAUAUGGAGGAACACCAGUGGCGAAGGCGACUUUCUGGUCUGUAACUGACGCUGAUGUGCGAAAGCGUGGGGAUCAAACAGGAUUAGAUACCCUGGUAGUCCACGCCGUAAACGAUGAGUGCUAAGUGUUAGGGGGUUUCCGCCCCUUAGUGCUGCAGCUAACGCAUUAAGCACUCCGCCUGGGGAGUACGACCGCAAGGUUGAAACUCAAAGGAAUUGACGGGGACCCGCACAAGCGGUGGAGCAUGUGGUUUAAUUCGAAGCAACGCGAAGAACCUUACCAAAUCUUGACAUCCUUUGACAACUCUAGAGAUAGAGCCUUCCCCUUCGGGGGACAAAGUGACAGGUGGUGCAUGGUUGUCGUCAGCUCGUGUCGUGAGAUGUUGGGUUAAGUCCCGCAACGAGCGCAACCCUUAAGCUUAGUUGCCAUCAUUAAGUUGGGCACUCUAAGUUGACUGCCGGUGACAAACCGGAGGAAGGUGGGGAUGACGUCAAAUCAUCAUGCCCCUUAUGAUUUGGGCUACACACGUGCUACAAUGGACAAUACAAAGGGCAGCGAAACCGCGAGGUCAAGCAAAUCCCAUAAAGUUGUUCUCAGUUCGGAUUGUAGUCUGCAACUCGACUACAUGAAGCUGGAAUCGCUAGUAAUCGUAGAUCAGCAUGCUACGGUGAAUACGUUCCCGGGUCU
rnacentral:rRNA from 1 species